rnacentral:hammerhead_ribozyme from 1 species
AGCCGAAACGAGCAGCCCGGCAGCGGGUUGUUCGUCCGCAGGGAAUGACCGCCCUGCGCUGAUGAUGGCAGGUCGGA